ensembl:lincRNA
GUGCCGAACCCCUUAGAGAUACCAAAGAGUUGUGGAAUGAAUGCAUCUGAUGGUCAAAUAUAUGCUGCCACAGGGGGAAUUUUCUAAACCCUCCCUCACCCCUUCCCCAAAAGUAACAAAAUAAAGCUAAAUUCCUCCAAAUAGGCAGGCCGUAAUCUUACAUCUGUUUUGUGGAAAUAGAGAAUGCAAAGGUUGGGAUACUCUUGCUUUCAAUCAUGCUAAAUCGUGUCCUCAGUUCUCCCGCUCCUGACUUCUUUACCUAGUUGACCGCUGCCAGCCUCCUGAGUGGCCGCUUUCUCGUCCCAAAAGUGCCGCUGGGACAUCCUUCCUUCAGUCCACAGGCAGUCAUUCCGAGCCUGCUAAGCAUCAGAUGCUGCUCUCAGUGCCCGGAAGCUGGGGAUAAAAGACGGGACAAGAACAUACAAGGGCCUUUGUCUCUGUGACCCCACAUGCUAGUGGGAAAAGAUAAAACCACCAGUCAGUGGAGAAAUACGACACUUUGACGCAGUGAAGCAACAAAUGAGAUAGGCCAGCCAGGCACUCACUGCAUGUCAGACACGAUUCCAAGUGGUUUACCUGUAUUAAUGUCUUUAAUGCUGACAGCAAGCCUGUAACCUUCAUUUAUCCUCCGGAAACCGAGGCCCAAAGGGCCAGGGAACUCAGCCGAGGGCACAAGCCUUAGAACAAGUGGUGGAACCAGAAUUUGAAUGCGAGCAUCGGGUUCUAGUCCGUGGCACGACCGGAGUGUUGCCCCCAGUCCUGAUUUAAGGAGCCGUGUCGCUGAGGAUGUGGUCAGGGAAGGGUCUUCUGAGAAGGUCAUGAUCAGGGUCCUGGGAUCGAGCCCCGCAUCGGAGUCUCUGCUCAGCAGGUCGUCUGCUCGCCCCCACCCCACCCCUGUAUCUCUUUGCCUGCCUCUCUACCUACUUGUGAUCUCUGUCUGCCAAGUAAAUAAAUAAAAUCUAAAAAAAAAAAAAAAAAAAAAAGUAAGAUCCCGCUUGUCAUCUCAGUUCACAUGUUAUCUUAGCUACGGGUGGAGAAUCAAACGAAACCCCUUUUCUGGCCGAAGUCAAAGAACUCAGCAUCUUGCCAGUUUUCUCCGUAUGCUCCUAGUAGACCACUGAUAGGCAGGGUGCAACCCCGGAUUAAAGGAGAGACAUGGCAGUGGAAGCAAUUCACUUUAAAGUGCUUUAUGUUAAGAGAAAGGGUGGGUAUGUGGUAUGCGCGGCUGGGUUGCCACAGCCCUUCCUCCGUCUUUGGGCUCUAGAGCAGUGCAUUCUGCGAUUGCUUCCAAGACCUGGCUGUCCGUUCGUAUGAGCGAUCGGGAAGCCUACGCAUACUCGAUUUAUUGAACCCCAGCCUAUCCCAGGACAAGGGUGGCCUGAGCCCUCUGACAUUUUGAACAACUUUGUAAACCGAUCCGUGACCCAUGACCAACUAAUGUGUAACUAUCGAUAUCAGACGGAAGUGACCCGACGUUUGGCAAGAAAGCUACUUCUCCUCUUCCAGCCACACUGUGCUUGUAACAGGAAGGGAGCUCGCAUGACAGUCGGAUGAGCCGAGGAAAUAUAUGAGGGCAUACAGAAAGGCUUGGAAAUCGCUGCCCACAUUCAGUUAAUCCCUCCGUUAUAUGUUAACGAGUUGACAGCAUAUGUGUUUGUCUAACAUCCUGCCUUAUUUAUGUCUUUCUGAAGGCCGAUCUGGAUGGAGGGUAUUAGUUUAAUUUAAUGCAAAAGGUCAUUUGCUAUUUUUGCCCCAGG